UACGUAGGUGGCGAGCGUUGUCCGGAUUUACUGGGCGUAAAGCGCGCGCAGGCGGUUCUGUAAGUCCUGGGGGAAAUCACCCGGCUCAACUGGGUGGCUGCGGAGGAGACUGGGCAGCUUGAGGGGCCUAGAGGCCGGUGGAACUCCCGGUGUAGUGGUGAAAUGCGUAGAGAUCGGGAAGAACACCAGUGGCGAAGGCGGCCGGCUGGGGGCGCCCUGACGCUGAGGCGCGAGAGCGUGGGGAGCAAACCGG
rnacentral:rRNA from 1 species